CUUGACUCUACUUCUUUUAGACUUCAUUUAAGGGCUGGCCACCACUAAGGCAGCAUCUCUUUGAGAUUGUUCCUCUGUGGAGAUUGUCCCAGUGUUUUACAGCCAGACUGAAGGCUUCUAUACUGCUACAUCAGGAGAGUUUAAUAGUGGCCUGUACUGGACAAGAAAGUGGUCAAUAUCUCCUUUAAUGACUUUCAUUAAGGAAUAAAGAAUCUCCUUAUAAAAUCCAAUGGAAAUGUUUGCAAGCACUUUGGUGGACCAGACUGGAAUUCACAAUGUUCUUGAUAGACUGGAGAAACUGAAAUCAAUAAGAUAAAAUUCAAUGAGCAUAAAGCACUACAUGCCAGAAAGUAGAAUCAAAUAUCUUCCAAAUAAAAUUACUUCAAUGCGGAACAGAAGAGAACUUUAGAUACAUACCGAAUCAUAAAAUAAAGCAGUAGAAACAGCCCAAGGACUGUGUGUUUGUUUUGCACUAGGUUUACUAUCUUCCUGCUGCAUCUUAUGAUAAACAGCUCCUCUGAUCAAGGAAGUUCCAAGAAAAUACAAAGAGCAUUUGUCUAAGCUCUUAGCUAACAGAUCUGUAAUUACCAAGAAUUACCUGCCUAUGUUUGACCAGGACAGCUGAGAUCCACUUACACCUUCAUGUGUAAGCUAAGAUAAUUUUAAUGAGAAUGCCACAGCCAAAUGCCUAUGGUUUAUGCAUGAAACAGCUUAACUGGGCAACCUGGAUGUUUGCUGAGUAUCUGACCAAGAAUGUGCUGCAUAUACAAAGAUGACAUUCAGAGGAGUGAAGGCCUCCAUUUUCAUGAGGUUUAAAUAUAUAUUAUAUCAAGCAACGUUUCAAUCUACUGAUAGUUUUCAUAAGCCAUGCAAAAAAAUUUGUGCUAUGAUAUGCAGUGGAGUAAGUAUUUUGGAAAGCUGCUUAGAAGCUCAUUGUGAUGUGCUGUCUGUAUGCCCAUCAUCUUGCUUUAAAGUGUAUCACCAAAAGGACAGAGCAAGAUGACAAUCCCAGAAAUAAUAUCCACUGAAUUUAACUGAAAUCUAUGAUAUUAAAUUAAGGCUACCCUUACAAGAGGCUUCCUUCCUACCUCUAAUGUCUUUUGAUUUUCUUUCUCUUGGUAGUGCUCCACAAUAGCUUAUUGCCAGAAAUGUCUAUAAUUGUUUUUUGUUGUUUUUUUUUUUUUUAAUGUUGUAAAUUGUGAUCACUGUUAAAAAAUGAUAUGAUUAUAAAAUUCAUAAAAUACAAAUACUUUGAAAAAUGAUAAUAUCAAAAUUUGGAUGAAAUCAAAGCCUUCAGGACUCUGUCCAGUUUUAGAAAAUGACAGCGAUAACAGUGGAAUGUCUCAAAGGCUGAUUCAGUCCUUUUAUUCAUAACUUGAUAUGUAUGUGCAAGUCUCAUUUUGUCUAAUGAUGUUUGCUUGAAUCUUUCCUGUUUUAUGGGAUUUACUUUGUUUGAUUGUUCUAGUUUUACUUUUUUUUCCCCCCAUCAUUGUACCUCAUUUUAUUUUCAGUGUGAAUCUGGUGCAAAGCAGGAUAGCUAUCAUAAAAGGAAUAAAAUACAAAAUCUGCCUGAAAA